ACGUCAAAGCGGGGCUCAGAUACAAUAGGCCGCGCAGUAGGACGUAUGGCUAGGGGACGGUCGCGAGCGCAGCUCCUCACUGUACUUUGCUGGGCAAAGGCGGCACGCCACGCCCCGUCCGGCUCGUGACGUCACUCCGGCGCCGCUAGGAGCGUUUCCUACUUACCUCGCUCCCGGAUCGUUGUCGGGCUGGUCGCCCGUCCGCCCGGCUUCAGCCACUACCCAAAGGGCUCGAGCGGCCCUGCGGCCCGGAGACCCAGUGCGCGUCGCGAGAGCUCAGGAGCAGCGGACAGUGAGAGGAAAGCUAGCUGAGCAGAGGAAGCACAGCGACGCAGCCACAGUUUUGGAACAGUACGCCCAGCUGGAAUAAUUCAACAUAUCUACUACAGAAAGAAAACAAACCCACUAGAGCCAAGCAGGAAAGCAGUGCCUCCUCUGUCUUUAUCCCGGUUUCAGUGAUAGUCUCUCACAGCUCAGGGCAUGGUCAAUGUGCUGAAUAAACAUGAUACAUACGCUGAUAUUCUGGAGUUACUGUGGGAAUAUUUGCCACUCAUGUCACUGCCACUCACGACACUGCUAGUUUCAGAGAAGAGAUCUGACUCUUGACCGUGGGGUGCCUCAUCAUCUAGAGGAGAAGAACCAGACAGCAUGAAAACUACCUGCAAAUGAGGGUUUACCUUCAGUGGGGUAAGGGAACUACAGUUAACCAGGUCAUAUCUAAGGACAUGAAAACUAGUACACAGUCGAUCUCAAAAUGAAAUAGAUAAUAUAUACAGUUUUAUUACUGUAAACUAGUACUUUACCAAACUUCUUUAUUCUUUUUACAUAAAAAAUUUUUACUUAUUUAUUUAUUUAUCUAGCUAGCUAGCUGCGCUGGGUCUUAGUUGUGGCAUAUGGGAUCUUUGUGGCCGUGUGCAAGAUCUUCGUUGUGGCAUGUGGGAUCUAGUUCCCUGACCAGGGAUCGAACCUCGGCACCCUGCGUUGGGAGUGCAGAGUCUUAACCACUGGACCACCAGGCAAUUUUUUUUUUUUUUUUUUUUUUUAAAGCAAAGGAACUUCUGGAAAUGAGGAGAUCACUGUGUAAAUACAGUAGUCUGCUGCUCUGGUCGGGGUGUGGAGAGAACGUUUGGCAGACCUCUGCCCAUUGGUGCCUGGUCCUGCCCCCAAGCUCUCACCAGUACCCACAACAAAGACCCUCACAGACCCUCAGAGGCCUCGGACUUCCACUUGGCACAGUAAUGACACUGCGGGAGGGACAGUAAGCAGCUGAGACAAAGCGCGAUGCUGCCCCUCACCACCCCCCAGCAUUGGUGUCUUCAGGUGGGCACUCACCCAGAUGCACCUGCUGUGCUUGCUCUUUGAGCUCCCGCACCACCAAUAGACGUGCUUUAUGGCGACUGAAGGUGGCUGUCUGAGAGUCCAGAAACGCCAUAUAAUUUUUCUGGGCUAAGGGUGCAGAUGGAAAAUAAUUUCAGCACGUUUAAACAAAGAGAUAAAACUAGAGUGGGGGUGGUUAGUGAGGGAGUUGGAGCUUAACAAAGAAAAGAAGUUACCAGGUUUUUCAAGCAAGAAUUUUUUCUUUAAUGAGAAGUAACCAACAUUGCUAUAGGAGAAAGAACUAGAGAUUGAGAUUCCAGAUCUUAAAGUUCAUCAACAUCAUCCUAGAGGGCUUCCCUGGUGGCGCAGUGGUUGAGAGUCCGCCUGCCGAUGCAGGGGACAUGGGUUCAUGCCCCGGUCCAAGAAGAUCCCACAUGCCGCGGAGCGGCUGGGCCCGUGAGCCAUGGCUGCUGAGCCUGCACGUCCAGAGCCUGUGCUCCACAACGGGAGAGGCCACAACAGUGAGAGGCCCGCGUACAGCAAAAACAAAACAAAACAAAACAUCAUCCAAGAAUACUCUCUACCACUAAACUUACAAAAUCACCUGAACAAAAGACUUGGUAUCUAACCCAAGAGAAGACUAGUAAAUAAAAGGAGUGCACAGGAAGCCACUAACAAAAAUAGGAGGAAAGUCUCUGAAAUGCUUCUUAAACAUAUAAGUAUUAGGUCUUUGUAGUUUUUCAUCUACAAAUACCCAAUACUUAUAUGUUUAAGAAGCACUUUUUCUAGGUUCUAAUUAGUGGAGAAAAAUCCAAGUAAGAGUGGGCUAGAUGGAUUGUUACAGGGCCAGGAAGGAUGCUUCCAGUAUCCAGUUAGGAGUACCUAAAGUGAAUGAUACACAAAGAACCCUCCCAGUUUUGAGUAGGACAGGGUAGUAGAGAGCAGGCAGGGUAAGAAUAUAAAUACAUGUUAAUGUCAGAAAGGCCAGACAUUACUUACAGGGUAGACUGUGCAGAGCUUAAAAUCAACCUCUACUCCCAAAGACUUUUAUAAGUCCAACUGAUGUCCUUCUUUUACACUUUGCUUUUAAGGGAUACAGCGAACACCAGAGUAUUCUAGAACUGAUAACACUCAUCUGUUAUUGAGGAACCAUCUGCAAAGGUUCUUCUUUUUAUUAUUAUUUUCUGGGCCGCGCCACACAGCAUGCAGGAUCUUAGUUCCCCGACCAGGGGUCAAACCCGAGGCCCCUGCAGUGGUAGUGCAGAGUCUAAACCACUGGACCACCAGGGAAGUCCCUUCUUAUUUUUAAAAAAUUUUUAUUUUGAAAAAGUUUCAAACCUACUUAAAGGUUGCAGUAAUUCGAUGUACAUACAUAUACCCUUCACUUAGAUUUAUCAAUUAUUAACAUUUUGCCAUAUUUUUGGCUGCCUCUGUUUCUACACACACACAUUUUUGUGGAACCCUCUGAGAGGAAGUUGCAGAUAUGAUUCUUCCCUCUUAAAUACUUCAGCAUCUCUCUCUUAAGAAUCAGGAUAUCAUCUAUAUAACCACAAUACAAUUAUUAAAUGCAGGAAAUUAACCAUUUGAUACAAUAUUAUCUAAUAUACAGUUCAUAUUUGAGUUUACCAACUAUUCCCAAAGAUUCUUAAUUGUAUCUUAUCACAGGUUUUUAACAUUCAAAUAAGUUAUGUGCUACUAUUUAGCAACACAGCAUAUUUAAAAACCAUGUUCAGAAGUAAAUUUCACACCCAGUGGAGAACUCUGAUUGACUCGAUAUAAUGAGUCCUUUCAUCACUGACAUGAUUAAAGGAUGUAAUAGCACAGGCAGUACUCUCCCGUCUCCCUCUCCCCCCGCAGUUCUAUACUUCCAAAUCAGGAAUUCUAUCUAAAUGUAACCCUCACCUUCUAAAAUGGAAGGCUUUACGUUGGUUUCUAUAAUAUCUGGUCUGUUAUAUUUAUGUACCUAAAAAAAAAAAAAAAAACAAUUUUAGGCAGGAAAACUUCAAAUCACUGGAAAAUUAAGAUACUUGGAAAUGGAUCACUUUCAGAGGUGACAGGAUAUUUUCCAGAGGAGUAGGCCUCCUAUAAGGUAGCCAAUGAAAACUCAAUUCAUUUCAGUAAAAAUUAGUAAUAUUUCAUAUUUAGAGGACUAAUUCCAACAUCAAGAAUAAACUUUUUAAAUGGUUUAAGAAGCACUGCUUAUCCUUAGACCAGGAAUCUGAACUAUUUCUAACAAAUUUCAGUAGCUCCGAAGACAAGGGACUGCGGCUGACGCUGUCUCCCCUGUGCAGGCUCUUGCUCCGCUUAGCACUUCAUGCAGGGAGGAGUUUUGAAGUCCUCUUACCAGUCUCAGAGCUUCUUCCCAGGCAGCUCCUUCUAACAGCAAGAGCACAGCUUCUUCAUAAUCCUGACAGGGGAACAUCAAGGAAGGUAACAGGCUAAUGGAGCAAGUGUGUUAGAUGCCACCCUAAUAAACUGCAAAACUGCCCACAGAGCUGCCUCCCUCUGCCUUUCCAGCCUAUCACUCACAGUCCCAGUUGGUGGGACUGGCCUAGAGUACAUGCUCGAUAAAUAUUGAUGCAAGAGACAAAGGAGGGGUGUCAAUUCUGGAAAUGAUCACAAAGCACAAGGUAAGCAUCACCUCUCUACAUCCCUGAGCAUCAAAACCACGAGAAAGACUGUUAGAAAUGCGCAUUUCCCCAGCUGCGCCUCCAAAUCUGAUUCCAGAGGUUUAGGUGGACUCCUGAAUUGACAAGUGCACACUCUGGAAAAAUGGUAGACUAGAAUAGUAACCUUCUAAACCAUUUUUUCUUUUUUAAUGUUUAUUUUUUUAUUUUGAACUUCAAACUUAACAAAAAACUGAUGAGUGUAAUAAACACCUGCAUACCCUACAGUCUUUAACCAUUUGUGAUGCUUGUACCCUUAUCACUAAAAACUUUUGAUCACGUACCCCAAUACAUAAUUAGUUAAUGUACUUAAAAAGCAUAUAAAACAAAACACGUUUUUAAAAGAUGACCUAUAUGAGGCAACUGGCUGAGUUUCUUCAAGUAAUCUCUGUCAUAAAAAGGGGGGGGGUGUAUACAUUAGAUAAAAGGGAUUUAAAGGACGUAACAAAAUGCAAUACCUGUCCCUAGACUGGAAUCUAAUUUGGAUCGAUCUACUGUAAACAAUUUUGGAAUAUUGAGGGAACUUAAAUUUUAAUUAUUAGAUGAAUUAAAAUGUGUCAACAUGGAGAGAUGAAGAUCAUAACCAAACACACCAAAUUUACAAACAGAACAAACAGCAUAAUUUCAUUUUGGUUAAAAAUACGUGCGUGUGUGUGUGUGUGUGUGUGUGUGUGUGGAGAGAGGGGGUGGCGAAGAGACAGAAAGGAGAGAGAAAACUCUAGAAAGAAAACAAGAGGUGCUAAUAAUAGCAAUCUCUGAGUGGUAGGAAUGAGAUGUUUUUAUUUUCUUGUAUGUGCUUUCAGCACUUUAAACAAUCUAUAAUACAUAUAUACUACUUUAAAUAGGUUAUUUUUAAUUAAAAAGAUUGAUUAAACAUUUUCUCCCGAGAGCCCAAAGGAUCCUUGCAGGUCUGUACCACGUGUCCCAGAGUAACGCGGUAGGAUGUGUUUUGCUUGACUGGCAAUGUGUGAGUGUGUGUGUUUUAUUGAGAUCAAAUUCACAUAACAUACACUGAAUGAUUUUAAAGUGUGUAAUUCGAUGGUGUUUACUGUAUCACAAUGUUGGUAACCACAAGCUCUCCCUUUCAAAAUUUUUUUAUCAUCACAUAAAAACACUCCAUAUCCAUUAACCAAUCCCUCCUUAUUUCCCACUCCUCUCACCCCCUAACUUCUAACCUGCUUUCUGUCUCUCUGGAUUUGCCUAAUCUGGAUAUAUUGUAAAAAAGGAACCACACAAUAGGUGACUUUUUGUGUCUGACUUAUUUCACUUAGCAUAUGUUUUUAAGGUUCAUCCAAGUUGUACCAUCUACUGGUUCUUUGUUCCUUUCUUUCCCCUUAUUUUUUUUGAUUGUAGUAAAAUUUAAUAUAAAAUUUACCCUUUUAACCAUUUACUGUAUAGUUCGGUGGCAUUAAGCAAAUUCACACUGUUGUGAAACCAUCACCACCAUCAGUCUCCAAAACUUUUUUUUAUCUUGCAAAACUGAAAUUCUAUAUCCAUUAAACAGUAAAUCCCCAUGUUCCCCUACCCCCAGACUCUAGCAACCAUCAUUAUACUUUCUGUCCAGAUGAAUUUGACUACUCUAGUUACUUCAUGUAAGUAGAAUCAUACAAUAUUUGUCCUUUUAUGUGAGUUAUUUCACUCAGCAUAAUGUUUUCAAGUUUCAUCUAAGUUGUAGCAUGCAUCAAUUUUUCAUUCUUUUUUAUGACUGAAUAAUAUUCCUGUGUGUGUGUGUGUGUGUGUGUGUGUGUGUGUGUGUAUCUGUGCAUGUAUGCACGUAUCACAAUUUAUUCAUCUGUUCAUCUGUCAUUGAUGGACAUUUGGGUUGUUUCCACCUUUUGGCUAUUAUAAUGCUCUAAAAUAUAAACAUUUGUAUACAAGUUUCUUUGUGGACAUAUGUUUCCAUUUCUCGAGUAUAUAUUUAGGGGUGGAACUGCUGAAUCAUAUGGUAAUGCUAUGCUUAACUUUUUAAGGAACCACCAAACUUUUCCAUAGCAGCUGCACCAUUUUACCUUCCCACUAGCAAUAUACAAGGGUUCCUAUUUCUCCACAUCUUUGACACUUAUUUUUCAUUCUUUUGAUUAAAAUGAUUCUAGUGGGUAUGAAGUGAUAGCCCACUGUGGUUUUGAUUUACAUUUCCUUAAUGAACAACGAUGUUGAACAUCUCUUCAUGUGGUUAAUGGCCAUCUGUAUAUCUUCUUUGGAGAAAUAUCCAAGUCUUUUGGCCAUUUCAAACAAAAUGAGUUGUUUGUCCUUUUGUUCUUGAGUUGUAAGAGUUCUUUACAUAUUCUGGACAUAACAAGGAAACUAUAAACCAAUAUUCCUUGUGAACAAGCAAAAAAGCCUCAAGUAAACUUUCAAAUCCACCAAUAUAGGUCAUACAUUAUGACCAAGUUAGGUUUAACUCAGGGAUGCAAGAUUGGUUUAACAUUCAAAAGUCAGUGCAGAUGAGUGAUCAAGAUGGUGGAGUAGUAGGACAUGAAGCUCACCCCCUCCCACAAAUAUAUCAGAAAUACACAUACAUGUGGAACAAUUCUCACAGAAUAUCUACCAAACGCUGGCAGAGGACCUCAGAACUCUGAAUGAGCAAGAAAAUCUCCCUGUAACUGGGUAGGACAAAAGAAAAAAAAAAGAGAAAGGAAUCGGGACAGGACCUGGGCCCUUGGGAGGGAUCUGUGAAAGAGGAAAGGUUCCUGUACCCUGGGAAGUCCCCUCACCAGUGGGGAGAUUAGCUGGGACAGAGGGGGAGCUUUGGAGCCUGGGAGGAGAAUGCAGCAACUGGUUUGCAGCAGCUAGAAUGGAGAGACAGACAGUGCCACCGCCCUGCACUCCCCAGCCUAAGACACAUGUCCUCUGGUAUGGGCGGGGGCUGGGUGUGUAAACUUGGGCUUCAGAGAUGAGACCCAGGUAGACAACUGGAGUGGGCUGCACGCAGACAGCCUGAAGGGGCUGGAGUCUGGUGCAGCCACACCUGGGAGUGCACGCGGAGGAAAGCUAGGCUGCUUUAGAGGCCAGGUGCCAUUGUGUGGGCCGUGCGCGAGGGGAGGGGCAGGACCUGCCACUACAGCCUUUUUCCCUGCAGGAGCUCUCAGGCAGCAGAACACCGCCUACACGAGCUCCAGGAGCGGUCACGAGCAGCAACUGCCCUCUGGGCUUUAGGAGUAAUCACCAGCUGCCACCACCACCCUUCUGGACUCCAGGAUUGGUCGUGAGCUGCCUCUACUCCCUUUGCAUGCUCUAGGGGUGCACGUGAUCUGCCAGUGCCACCGAGAACCCCAAGACCAGGCACUAGCUCCCAUAUCUGCACACCCCCUGUCAAGGGGAUGAUGGCCGGCACAUGCUGAGGAAAGAGGCUACAGGUAAAAAAAAAACAGCCCUCAUGGGACUUUACUGGUGGUCCAGUGGUUAAGAAUCUGCUUCCAAUGCAGGAGAUGUAGGUUCGAUCCCUGGUUGGGGAACUAAGAUCCCACAUGCCACGGGACAACUAAGCCUGCAUGCUCUGUAGCCCCCAUGUCACAACUAGAGAGAAGCCCCUGUGCAACUAGAGAGGAGCCCAUGCGCCGCAAUGAAAGAUCCAAUGUGCCGCAACAAAGAUCCCACGUGCCACAACUAAGACCUGAUGCAGCCAAAUAAAUAAACAAAUAAAUAAUAAAAACAGCCCUCGCACCAAAAAUAUUAAACCCACACAAGAGACACAGGGACAGACCCACAUAUAAAUAGCCCUCCAAGACGAGUAGCUAACUGUUUCUCCUAAACUCACAGAAUAAGAGAAAUAUAAGUAAAAUGAAGAAGCAGAGGAACCACUCACAGUUAAAAGACCAAGAGAAUUCCCCUGAAAGAACAAAUAAACAGACCUCUUCAGUCAAAUAGACACCAAUUUCAAAAAGGAGAUAAUGCAAAUACUGAAAGAACUAAGGAAGGCUACUGACAGAAAUGCAGAGUACUGUAAAAAAAAAAAAAAAAAGGAACUAGAAACUAUAAAGUAUAACCAAGAAAAAUUAGAGAACUCAUUUGCUGAGAUGACAACUGAACUAAAAGCAAUGAACAGCAGAAUAAAUAAUGCACAAGAACAAAUAAGUGACCUGGAAGAUAUCAACAGAAUAAUGGAAAUCACCUAAUCAGGACAGCAGACAGAAAGGCAAAUUAAAAAAAAAAGAAAAUGAAAGCAAUAUAAGAGACCUAUGGGAUAAUAUAAAGCAUGCCAAUGGGGAUUGAAAAUGUAUUUGAAGAAAUUAUGGCUGAAAACUUCCCAAACAUAAAGAAGGAAACAUAUCCAGGUAUAGGAAACACAGAGGGUCCCAAACAAGGUAAGCCCAAAUAGACCUACACCAAGACAUAUUAUAAUACAAAUAGCAAAAUUUAAAGAUAAAGAGAGGAUUCUAAAAGCAGCAAGAGAAAAACAAAGAGUUAAUUACAAGGGGACCCCCACAAGGCUAUCAGCUGAUUUCUCUACAGAAACGUUGCAAGGCCAGAAGGGAGGGGCAAGAUAUAUUCAAAGUUCUGAAAGGGAAAAGUCUGCAACCUAUGAUACUCUACCCAGCAAGAUUAUCAUUUAGAAUAGAAGGAAAGAUAAAGAAUUUCUCAGACAAGCAGAAACUAAAAGAAUACAGCAAUACUAAACCUAUCCUAAAGGAAAUAUUGAAAGGUCUUCUCUAAAUAGAAAAGAAGAAUAUAUAAGAAAGAGAAAAUCACAAUUGGAAAGCAAAUCACCUAAAUAAGCCAGUACAGAGAUUAAAAAAAAAAUUUUAAAUUUCUGUGAAAGUGAUAACCACAAUAAACAGCAAAAGGAUGAACAUGAAGAUGUAAAAGAGGACAUCAAAAUCAUAAAGUGUGGGGGAGGAGAGUAAGAAAAUGUAGAUUUUUUUUUUUCAUUUCCUAGAAUGUGUUUGAGCCUAUAUGACUAGCAGUCUAAGGCAAGCAGAUACAGGAUGGGGUUAACACAGUGGAAAAACAGGGUAACCACAAAUCAAAGACAUACAAUAGAUUAAUAAAACCAAAAAGAACGUAAGUGUAACACAAAAGAAAAUCAUCGAACCACAAAAGAUAAAAAGAAAAAGGGACAAAGAAAAAAUAUAAAAUCAACAGGAAAACAAGGUUAAAAAGGCAAUUAAUACAUAUCUAUCAAUAAUUACCUUAAAUGUCAAUGGACUAAAUGCUUAAAUCAAAAGACACAGAGUGGCAGACUGAAUUAAAAAAAUGAGCCUACAAUACCUGCCUGCAAGAGACCCAUUUCAGGGCAAUGAACACACAGAGAUUGAAAGUGAGGGGACAGAAAAAGAUAUUUCAUGCAAACGGAAAUGACAAGAAAAGUGGGAGUCACAACGCUCAUAUCAGACAAAAUAGACUUUAAAACAAAGUCCAUAAAGAAGGAUAAAGACGGACACUAUAUAAUAAAAGGAUCAACACAAGAAGAGGAUUUUACACUCGUCAACAUAUAUUCACCUAAUAUAGGAGCAUCCAAAUACACAAAAAAAUACUAACAGACAUAAAGGGAGAAACUGACAGGAAUACAAUAAUAGUAGGAGACUUUUAACACCCCACUCACAUCAAUGGACAGAUCUUCUAGACAGAAAAUCAAUAAGGCAACAGAGAUCCUAAAUGAUACAAUAGAACAGUUAGACUUAAUUGAUAUUUUCAGGGCAUUACAUCCAAAAAAACCCAUAAUACACAUUCUUUCCAAGUGCACAUUAAACAUUCUCUAGGAUUGACAACAUACUAGGGCACAAAACAAGCCUCAACAAAUUUCAGAGUAUAGAUGUUAUCUCAAGGAUCUUUUCUGACCACAAUGCCAUGAAACUAAAAAUCAACCACAGGAAAAGAAAUGAGGAAAAAAAUGACUACAUGAAGACUAGACAACAUGCUACUAAAAAACCAACAGGUCAAUGAUGAAAUCAAAGAGGAAAUUAAAAAAUACCUUGAAACAAAUGACAAUGAAAACAGAACCAUACAAAAUUUAUGGGAUGCAGCAAAACCAUUUCUUAGAGGGAAGUUCAUAGUGAUACAGGCCUUAUUCAAAAAACAAGAAAAAUCUCAACAACCUAACCAACCACUUAAAACAAUUACAAAAAGAAGAACAAAUAAAAGAAUUAUAAAAAGUAAUUCAUGAAUAAAAGUAAUUCAUGAAGUAAUUCAUGAAUUACAUGAAGUCAGUAGAAGGAAGGAAUUAAUAAAAAUCAGGGAGGAAAUAAAGAUUUAAAAAACAACAGAAAAAAAAUCAAUAAAACAAAGAGCUUGUUCUUUUAAAGGGUAAACAAGAUGACAAGCCUCUGGCAAGACUCACCAAGAAGAAGAGAGAGAGAACCCAAAUAAACAAAAUAAGAAAUGAAAAAGGAGACAUGACAACUGAUACUGCACAAAUACAAAAAACCAUAAGGGAAUACUAUGAACAACUAUAUGCCAACAAAUUGACAACCCAGAAGAAAUGGACAAGUUUCUAGAAACAUAGAACCCACCAAAAUUGAAUCAAGAAGACACAGAUAAUUUGAAAAACCAAUCACUAGAGGUGAAAUAGU